AGCAGCCGCGGUAAUUCCAGCUCCAAUAGCGUAUAUUAAAGUUGUUGCGGUUAAAAAGCUCGUAGUUGAAUUUCGGGGUCAAUAUGUUGGUCGUGCCUCGGUACGUACUAGCUUAUUGGUUUCUCCUUUCUGAAGAACCUCGAUGUCAUUAAUUUGGUGUCUUGGGGAAUCAGGACUGUUACUUUGAAAAAAUUAGAGUGUUUAAAGCAGGCUCGCGCUUGAAUACAUUAGCAUGGAAUAAUGAAAUAGGACGUUUGAUUCUAUUUUGUUGGUUUCUAGGAUCGACGUAAUGAUUAAUAGGGAUAGUUGGGGGCAUUAGUAUUCAAUUGUCAGAGGUGAAAUUCUUGGAUUUAUUGAAGACUAACUACUGCGAAAGCAUUUGCCAAGGAUGUUUUCAUUAAUCAAGAACGAAAGUUAGGGGAUCGAAGACGAUCAGAUACCGUCGUAGUCUUAACCAUAAACCUAUGCC
rnacentral:rRNA from 1 species